GAUGAACGCUGGCGGCGUGCCUAAUACAUGCAAGUCGAGCGAACGGACGAGAAGCUUGCUUCUCUGAUGUUAGCGGCGGACGGGUGAGUAACACGUGGAUAACCUACCUAUAAGACUUGGAUAACUUCGGGAAACCGGAGCUAAUACCGGAUGAUAUUUUGAGCCGCAUGGUUCAAAAGUGAAAGACGGUCUUGCUGUCACUUAUAGAUGGAUCCGCGGUGCAUUAGCUAGUUGGUAAGGUAACGGCUUACCAAGGCAACGAUGCAUAGCCGACCUGAGAGGGUGAUCGGCCACACUGGAACUGAGACACGGUCCAGACUACUAAGGGAGGCAGCAGUAGGGAAUCUUCCGCAAUGGGCGAAAGCCUGACGGAGCAACGCCGCGUGAGUGAUGAAGGUCUUCGGAUCGUAAAACUCUGUUAUUAGGGAAGAACAUAUGUGUAAGUAACUGUGCACAUCUUGACGGUACCUAAUCAGAAAGCCACGGCUAACUACGUG
rnacentral:rRNA from 1 species